rnacentral:misc_RNA from 1 species
GAAAUGCGAUAAGUAAUGUGAAUUGCAGAAUUCCGUGAAUCAUCGAAUCUUUGAACGCACAUUGCGCCCUCUGGCAUUCCGGGGGGCAUGCCUGUCCGAGCGUCAUUACGCACCCUCAAGCCCGGCUUGUGUGAUGGGCCCCGGCGUCUCGUUCGCGAGACGGGCCGAAAGGCAGCGGCGGCGUCGACCCGAUGAGCCCGAGCGUAUGGGGACUUCUGUCACACGUUCGCGGUGCGGACCGGCGCCUGCUUGACUUUUCUGAUUAUCCAGGUUGACCUCGGAUCAGGUAGGGAUACCCGCUGAACUUAAGC